CAAGUGACCCCGGUCUAACCACCGGGAUGUUCAUAACCCUUUGUUGUCCGACUCUGUUGCCUCCGGGGCGACCCUGCCUUCGGGCGGGGGCUCCGGGUGGACACUUCAAACUCUUGCGUAACUUUGCAGUCUGAGUAAACUCAAUUAAUAAAUUA
rnacentral:misc_RNA from 1 species